AAUAAUCUUGGACGUGUAUCCUGUUUUGUUAUUUUAACUGUUCUUAUCAAAAAGCUUAACAUAAAUAAUAUAUUGUAAAGGCGAAUAAUAUAUUGUAAAGGCGAAUACGACAGGAUGCGUAGAUGUAGAAAAAAGACAGGACUAAAAAAAAAAAUUUGAAUAUUUAAAAACUUAAAUAACCCAUAAUGAAAUUUGUCAAUUUCAAGGAGAAACGUUUUUAUUACAUAAAUGGUGGGAAUAUAUAAUAUAUAUUCUGGAAUGUAUUGAAACAUUAGGGAGUGUUUUUGAAUAUUUUAGAUGAACUACCUUGUUUUCAUUGCAAAAUUGAAAGUUUUACAAAGAGGAAGAAAAGUGCAAGAUAUUUAAUCACUUUUAAACCAAAACAAAACGUCCUGUAAUAAUUCCAGCAAUAAUCUAAAGUCAAACAAGUGCAUUUAGAUGAAGAAUCUCCUUUUCCAAACAGAAAAAGAUCUAGGGAUUCUAUCUAUUGAAAAGCUAACCAAGCUGACAAACCGUCAAAAUCUUGGAAACUUCAAUUUACUAUGCAAUAUGGAAAAACUGAGACUGGAAUCGAAUCAAAAUUUUGAUUACGGAUAUAAAAUUGCGAUGAAGAGAAAUUCUAGAUUUUCCACUAUUAUUCAGUGCACCCAUCAAAAAAAAACUCAAUAGUUAGAUUGAUCUAUAUAACAAAAACAAAAAGAAAUUAUCUGAUAAAUUUACUACAACACUUUCUCAGUUAUUUGAUGCCACCAACCUUAAUGAAGAAUGGAAAAGCACAGAGGAUAAAGAGCUCUACCUGAGACAAGUUAAGAGUGGAGGAAUUAAUGGAGGAGAAUGAGUUUUUAACAGAAUGAAAGAUUGGUUAUUCAAUGGUCAAAUAAACCCCUUUGGAAUCAAAACACCCAAGAAAACGAAUCCGACUACCAAAAGCUCAACCUCAAGCCUAUUCUUAAUUGCAACCCUUAUAAAUACAAAAAACUGUAUCAUAAUCUUCGAAUUCUGAAACAAUGCUUUUUCCCUUGAGUUGCUAACCUUUUCUUUUAUAACAUCCACUCCGAAAUGCAAACCAAAAUAUCAAAGAACAUAACCAAGCACUAAAACAGCUGGUUUUCUACUUUUUACUACUCCUUCAUUGACAAAGUGAAAAAAAAUCUCUUAAGGCUGAUUUCGGCCUCGAUACAACAGAUGAUGUUAACACAGGCAAGAGUCCUGGACGGCGAGAUAAAUUCAAGCGAUAAUUUUUAACUAUGUCAGGCAUAUUUUCAUUAUAAAGCAACUUCACGUUGGCCUCGAAUCAGCUUAAAAAAACUCUCAAAUUUACAUCAGACAAGAUGAAGCUCGCGUGCGAUAUAUGCUGUUACGGCAUUCUUUCUGAUAACAGAGAGGGGUAGCAUCCUCGCUCCAACAUGCAACUUCAUCUACUUCAAAUAGAUAUUCGUAGCAGACGAUUUCCCAGAUCUAACCAAGUUGCUAAACGUACUGUAAAACUGAUGAAGAAACUAAUGCAAAA